rnacentral:ribozyme from 1 species
ACCUCAUGAGCUGCAAUUUGCACCCAGUUAUGCAUUAUUUUUUCUUUAUCAUGAUUUUCAUUAGCCAAGCUAGCAUCUUAUACUGACAAGAGAUUUACCAUUCGCUGUUGACUUAGGUAUGACUUUUGACUUUAGUUAGUAUAUC